UACGGGGGGGGUUAGUGUUAUUCAUCGUUAUUGGGUGUAAAACGCGUGAAGAUUGUACAAAAAGUUUAAAUUAAAAUAAACUAAGCUUAACUUAGAAAUUAAUUUUCAUACUUUUGUUCUAGAGAUCAAAGGAAGGAAACUAUACUUCUCAGAAAAAGGUGAAAUUUGUCCGAACUGGGGGGGAUAAUCAGCAGGCGAAAGCGGUUUCCUAUUAUGAUUCUGACAUUGUAGCGCAAAAGCUUGGGGAUCAAACGGG
rnacentral:rRNA from 1 species